rnacentral:lncRNA from 1 species
AAGGAAAGGGGGGUGAGAAUAGCAAGCAUGGAGUUGCAUCAAGAAACACACAUAAUUCACACCGUCACCACAUCUUGAGCGUGAUUCUGCUGAGACACUUGCUGCUCACUUCCACGCACGGUGCAUGGCUGCAUCUACAAGCAAGAACACACGUCCCUCACUGCUGCUACGUGUGGAGAUCUAUGUUUCUUCGAUUUGCAAUCAGCACCGUCCAUAGUAUAGAUCUCUCAUUAUAAAUGAGCUUGUAUCAGAUGUAUGAAAACACCUUUGAAUAUAUGAGAGAAAAGUUUGCUGAUGCAUUUUCCAGCUUUUUUCUCCCACCGAAGGUCACCUCUUGCUUAUUCUUUCAUCUCUGCAACUUCCUUCCUUGUAUGGAAGNCUGCCUGAGUUGUAGCCACCUCCUCUAAGCACCUCAUCCAUUCCAAACAGUCACCGAAUACACCUUCACCAUUUCCAGUUUUCCACUUGCUUUCGCUGCCAGAGUUCGUAAGUCUUCCACUGAUCCAACUCAUACGCGUUUGUGUUAGUUCCGGCAUCUAGAUGCAGCCAUCAUAGUACCUGUAUCAAUUAUUAAUUUGUAUUAUACUUCUCCCCUUAUAUUAUUCUUCUCCCCUUAUAUUAUUCUUCUCCCCCUUUUUUAUCAAAAGCAAAAAGAUUAAAUUAAAAAACUCCCCCUAAAUAUGAUCUCCCCCUAAAUUAAACAAUGUAUGCAUAAAACAAGAGAUCUGUUAUUCAUAAAAGAAAGGAUUACAUAAACACCAUAAGGAGAAUCCUAAAAGACAGAAAUAUAACAUAGAGAUAAGAAUAACAACCAAUCAACAAAGCANUCUGACAAAAAAAAUCCUAAUUCUAAAAUUCAGGACUUGGGAUCUCUCGGGUGAUUGAAGGUUUAGAUGAUUUUCAAUAUUUCCUAGAUGAACAUCAAUGUCAAGAAUUUGAUCAACCAUAUAACUUUUCAUGAGCUUGCUGCCAUUCAUAAAUUUGAUCAAACUGAGGUUUCAGGGCAGGACUCAUAUCUUCUACUUAUUAUAAAAGUUCUCAAUCAAAAGCUUCAUCUCCUCUUUUCAAAAAUCAUCUAAAGUUUAUGCUCCCCAUAAAAUAGGUAAAUUAAAAAGGAUUUAAGUCCUUUAAAAGUACUCCCCCUAAAUGUAAUAAUCCCUUUUGAUAAAACAAACCAAAAAGAAUUUUUUUUUUUUUGAAUUUUUUUUUUGAAUUUUUUUUUCUUACGCUGAUAAUCGAUUAUUACUUUAAAUAAUUGAUUAUUUAUGUUCAAAAUUGUCAAAAUCUAAAUUUUUGGCCGAGAUAAUCGAUUAUGACCCUUUGGUAAUCGAUUAUUGACGUUAAUUUCUGAAAAACAGAGAUUUGGGCCAAAUUUUCAACCUAAAACUCAUAACAUUCAUAAAAUGUCCAGAUAUCUAACAAACUUAUAUAUCUCU